rnacentral:rRNA from 1 species
UGCGUAGGCGGUGCGGUAAGUCUUUUGUGAAAUCUCCGGGCUCAACUCGGAGUCUGCAGGAGAAACUGCCGUGCUAGAGUAUGGGAGAGGUGAGUGGAAUUCCUGGUGUAGCGGUGAAAUGCGUAGAUAUCAGGAGGAACACCUGUGGCGAAAGCGGCUCACUGGACCAUAACUGACGCUGAGGCACGAAAGCUAGGGGAGCAAACAGGAUUAGAUACCCUGGUAGUCCUAGCCCUAAACGAUGAUUGCUUGGUGUAGCAGGUACCCAAUCCUGCUGUGCCGCAGCUAACGCGUUAAGCAAUCCGCCUGGGGAGUACGGUCGCAAGGCUAGAA